rnacentral:rRNA from 1 species
AACGAACGCUGGCGGCAGGCCUAACACAUGCAAGUCGAACGCCCGUAGCAAUACGGGAGUGGCAGACGGGUGAGUAACGCGUGGGAACGUGCCCUUCGGUUCGGAGUAACUCAGGGAAACUUGAGCUAAUACCGGAUACGUCCGUAAGGAGAAAGAUUUAUCGCCGAAGGAUCGGCCCGCGUCGGAUUAGCUAGUUGGUGAGGUAACG